UGUUCUGUAGCUUAGUUGGUUAAAGCGCCGGUCUAGCGUACACGGAGUCGUGAGUUCGAGUCUCACUAGAACGU
rfam:Aedes aegypti strain Liverpool supercont1.561 genomic scaffold, whole genome shotgun sequence.